rnacentral:rRNA from 1 species
GUCUUUUUGAUUAUAAUUUAAGGUUUAAUCUGCUCAAUGAGUUAUUAAACUGCCGCAGUAUUUUGACUGUGCAAAGGUAGCAUAAUAAUUAGCUUUUUAAUUGGAAGCUGGAAUGAAUGAUUGGACGAGAAAAUUUCUGUCUCUUUAUUAUUUUUAUUUAAUUUAACUUUUAAGUUAAAAGGCUUAAAUUUUUUUAAAAGACGAGAAGACCCUAUAGAGUUUUAUUUUUAUUUUUAUAUUUUGUUUUUGGAAUUUAUGAUUUUUUAUAUUAAUAAAAAUUUAGUUGGGGUGACUAAAAGAUAAAUUUAACUCUUUUAAUUGUAAUCAUUUAUUUUUGAAUAUAAAACCUAUUUUAUUAAGUUUAAAAUUAAUUACCUUAGGGAUAACAGCGUAAUUUUUCUUUAGAGUUCUUAUUAAAAGAAUAGUUUGCGACCUCGAUGUUGGAUUAAAAUUUAUUUUAGGUGUAGAAGCUUGAAUAUUAAGUCUGUUCGACUUUUAAAA